AGGCGUCUGGGUGUGCGGAGCGCGCGCGCGCGGCUCGGAGGCGCACCUGUGAGGUGUCCCUUGAGGAGAGGGAGGGUGGGUGCGCGGAGCCCGCGGCCUGGGGCGCUUCAACCCCUCACUUGGAAGCGCCCUGCGUCUCAGCAGAGCCCGCCGAGCAUCCUACUCAGGUGAUGAGGAACCUUUCGCGCACCCAGCGCAGAACGUCGCUGCCGCUGGACGCCUCCAUUGUUUGACCACAACAAGGGCCGGAUUCUCACCCAGGAGUCAUCAGGCCAAGUCAUAAGAAAAGCAGUUGUCUGGGGGACAAAGUGAAAACAGCUCUCUUCCCCGUAUCUCAUUAAAACAGAGAGCCCACAUUAGCCAUUGAGCUUUGUGAGGGAGAGGUCAGGGAACCUCGGACUUUAGACAUGUGGGGCUUGUCAAAUGGGGGCAGAAGUAAAGGGUGAGGAGAGAAGGGGGAAAAAGGAAGUGAGGAGCUGACGUACUUGGGGCCCCAAGUAGGGAAAGUGGCCAAGGGUAGGGACAAGGUGGCCUCCCCAGGAGAUACCGGGUGAGUGGCUGAAGGGGCCGUUGUCCGGGGUUCUCUUAGUGCUCAGGAGUCACACUGGAUUGGAGUCUUUUCUAGCCAUCUGGUGGCAGGGAAAUGCAGAGAAGGCAUCAAAAGUGACAUAAAUUCUACCACUGUCAGUAACGCUUUCUAUAACAAAGUUUGACGUCAUUCCAGAAAAGAAAAGCAUAGACCCAGGCUGACAUAAGUUUAGUUGGCAAAUCCUGCCCAGAAGCGGAACUGCCUUUGACCAACUUAAAAAGUUGACCUCAGUGUCUUUGGGGGAAAUUAUCCCAUAAAUUAUUGAGGUCAGUGAUUAUCGGUAAUGCAUUCAGGAGAUGCUACCUGGUACUUGAGCACCAGGUAGAGGGGCAUUUGAAUACUAGUCAGGCAUGUUAUUAAGAUGUUACAUGGAUGGCAGCCAAUGGCCAAAGACUGAUGGACAAUUUGAGGAUCCUGCUUUGAGGUCAUUCCAGUUUUCAGAAGUGCAUGGUACUCCAGUGACUAGAUGCCAUACAUAAGUAUCUGAACAGGCCUUUGGGUGAACAGAAACCUGGAAUAUGUUCUGAGGCUGGGCUUUCUGAUGUGGAAGGGUUUGGCCACAAGAGAUUUAGACCCAGGAGUUUUAGGUGACUGCUUAGACCGCUAUAAGUGAAAUUCCCCUGUCAGCUUUGACCCCUACAACUUCUGGUUACUGAAGUUGGCCCAGGAAGUCGAGGAAGCCUGUGUUCACUUCUCGGAGUGAGAAGCACAUCUCAGAAAAGUGGCCGGGCAGUUGGGCCUUCUGGGGUGUUGUCAGCUAGGGCAGAUGAAGACGUUCGAGGAGUAGACCAGCCAGAGGCCUGAGUGCUUUAGAGUGCCCGGGGAAACCAGGUGGAUCGUUCUUCAGAGGCUUUCCGAAGCCUCCCAGGUGUGAUGGCUAGCACCUUACAAAGUGGGGCUUCACUGUGACCUGUUACCAUUGAGGUGGCCCAGGGCCCAAGCAGAGGGGCUGUAAUGAGGAAAAAUAACUCUAGUAUCUGGAACAGUGGGGUACUAGAAAAAGUGUGGGAAAUAGGAAGGACCCAUUUGGGGCCAUGAGCCUGCCCUGGGCAGCCAGAAUGGGUGUCUUCCAGGCUGCUGGUAUCUUCUAUUCCAGGACUGAUGGUGAUGGUAAAGCUAAAUAGAAUGGGUUUGGCAUUCCACAGACUUGAUCAAUGAGUUCUAAGUGAUUGAUGGGACUAAGUUAUACUAAGAUAGCUAGGGAAAGGAAGUGGGCUGGGUCCAUGUGUGGCUUGAGUAUCUAAGUCUUCCUAUAGCCUGUUAAUGUGUACUUUAGACUGGAAUUUCCAGAAGGUAUAGUAGAGAUUAGUGAGGAGGUAGAUAUUGCUUCUGUCGUGUGCCCAGAUCUCUGGCCUGGAACAGAACAAAUAAUCUAUUAGUCCUGUUACUUGGCAGCAUGCAGGCACCAGGGACCUAAAUGGCCUUUCCACUUCUAUUUUGUGUGCCAAAGCCUGUAGGAAAAGGUUAAGCAGAGCUAUCCCUUCCCUUGGAGUUGUACCACUGCCAAAUAUCUGAUUGAGUUGAUUUCUGGCACUUCCUGAUAAUUUGUGAGGAGGAGGAGUUGCUAACCAAGUUGGGAACAUGUCCCAUGUUCUCUCUCCAUGAACAGGGGCAUCUAUUAUGUCCAGGGGGAACAAGAUGAUAGAAUUGCACGGCCUUGGACCUGGAAAUCAAGGUCUUACAAGAACACAUUAGUGGAUUGCUGCCUAAUGGGAUAAUUUCUGAAUCCUCUAUAAAACGCCUGUCUGGGUAGAGAGUUAUUUCCUGUGGUGUUCAUCUUUAAGUUCUCUUGUAUAAAACUUGACUUUGGGAUUAUUGUGGAGGAAUGUGGGGGACAUUUUUCUUACUUCGGUAAUAAAUUACUAACACGAGUAAGUGUUCAUCUUACCAUUUGUUCAUGUACUUUCAGGCUUUAAAAUAAAAAUGUUUAAU